UCUCGACGGUUGGCUUCGCUCGCACAGCAGGAAACGGAAGUGGUGGCAAAACGUGCAAUAUCCGGCGGCAAACCACAACAGAAUAAACACAACAAAAUAGCCAUAAAAAACACAGCUGUAAACACAGCUCCCAAAAUAAAUAGUUAAAUUAUCAUAUAGAAUAUAUAUCCAAGAAAUAUAGCAUAAGUUUGUGUCCGCUUGUUGAUCAAAUCAAUAAUCAAAAUUAUUCCAAAUAAUUAAAAAUAUCAAGUGCUUUUGGAAGUUAUAAAUGUCUAAACUUAAAUCGCGUUAAACCCCCAGUUAAAUAUCGAUUACAAAAAUAACGAAAAGUUUGUGAAAACGAUUUCGGAAUCAGAGGCACAGAAAAGAAAGCAAGGCAAACAAACGAUAUGCGUAUAGGCCAGGCCAAAAAGGACAAGAUAACAAAUCCCCCAGCAGCACUUAAGGCAUAAAUCUCAAACUCAAUCAACCAUUUGAGGCUGAGAAAAAGGAGGGGAACAGAGCCGCCAGACAAGGACAAACGAUCCGAGUGGCUUUCAUCUGGAUAUUGGGACAAAGUAUAGGGAUAAGGAACAGUAACAGUAACAGGAGCACUAGGAGCCAGGAGCACCCCCAUCAUCAUCAUCCUGCAUGUUGAUUUCAGCUGAAAUUGCGACCGCAACCAAGGACAAACAAACUCACAUUGAAGGAGAAAGCUUUCAAGGACACAACAUGGCCAGAUUCAUCGAGGAAUUCUGGCUUUCUAGUGCAUU